UACAGAGGUCUCAAGCGUUGUUCGGAUUCAUUGGGCGUAAAGGGUGCGUAGGUGGCGCCGUAAGUCGGGUGUGAAAUUUCGGAGCUUAACUCCGAAACUGCAUUCGAUACUGCGGUGCUUGAGGACUGGAGAGGAGACUGGAAUUCAUGGUGUAGCAGUGAAAUGCGUAGAGAUCAUGAGGAAGACCAGUGGCGAAAGGCGGGUCCCUGGACAGUUCCUGACACUGAGGCACGGAAGGC
rnacentral:rRNA from 1 species